UGGGGAAUUUUGUCGCAAUGGGGGGAAACCCGUGACGCAGCAACGCCGCGUGAGUGAUGAAGGCUUUCGGGUCGUAAAGCUCUGUCAGUGGGGAAGAAAUGAGAGUGGCUAAUACCCGCUUUUCUUGACGGUACCCACAAAGGAAGCACCGGCUAACUCCGUGCCAGCAGCCACGGUAAU
rnacentral:rRNA from 1 species